CUACGGGUCGCUGCAGUGGGGAAUAUUGCACAAUGGGCGCAAGCCUGAUGCAGCCAUGCCGCGUGUAUGAAGAAGGCCUUCGGGUUGUAAAGUACUUUCAGCGGGGAGGAAGGGAGUAAAGUUAAUACCUUUGCUCAUUGACGUUACCCGCAGAAGAAGCACCGGCUAACUCCGUGCCAGCAGCCGCGGUAAUACGGAGGGUGCAGGCGUUAAUCGGAAUUACUGGGUGUAAAGCGCACGCAGGCGGUUUGUUAAGUCAGAUGUGAGAUCCCCGGGCUCAACCUGGGAACUGCAUCUGAUACUGGCAAGCUUGAGUCUCGUAGAGGGGGGUAGAAUUCCAGGUGUAGCGGUGAAAUGCGUAGAGAUCUGGAGGAAUACCGGUGGCGAAGGCGGCCCCCUGGACGAAGACUGACGCUCAGGUGCGAAAGCGUGGGGAGCAAACAGGAUUAGAUACCCGUGUAGUC
rnacentral:rRNA from 1 species